rnacentral:tRNA from 1 species
AAGGGAAAUAUAUAAGAUUACUGCUAAUAAUUUUUUGUCAGUUUGUUCUGACUUCUCUUU